CCCGUCUAUACUAAAAAUACAAAAAGAUAGCCAGACGUGGUGGCAGGCGCCUGUAAUCCUAGCUACUUGGGAGGCUGAGGCAAGAGAAUUGCUUGAACCCAGGAGGUGGACGUUGUAGUGAGCCAAGAUCACACCAUUGCACUCCAGCCUGGGUAACAAGAGUGAAACUCCGUCUCCAAACAAACAAACAAACAAACAAACCCACGAGGGAGAUCAGUGUGAAGGGCAUUGCCAAAGUGGAAUCAGUAAGGCUUGGCAGUUGACCUUGUUUGUUGGAGAGAAGGGAUAAGAUUUUAAAGCUACAUGUCUGAAAGAAUGAUGCUGCUGAUUGAAAUAAAGGAAGAAAGGAUGCAUUUCGGGCUCCAACCUGUCCUAGGAAGGCCUAGACCUCAAACACCAUCACCUCCAUGCAUUUCCUCUUUGGCUACUAUGUCUUUUCCCUGACUUCUGCCUCUCCAGCUCUCUGGGCUGCUGCUUCCACCUGUUCAUCUGACUUAGACCCUCCCUGCUGGGUCCUUGUUCACCUACUCAUUUGGUGCUUCGUCUGCCAUCAGUACCUCCAUUGCAGCUGGUGGGAUGUCAGUCACCAUCUCUUAUAUUUGCUUCCCACUAGAAAGAUCAAGAGAAGUUAUUUCUUUCCCUUGCGCUCCAAUUUUUCUCUAGACAGUUGGUAUCCACAAUUUUAAAAAAUGUUCCAUGUUGUAUAAACAAGCAUUCGCUGAGAGGGGCUGUUAAUACACAUCGUGCCCCUUUUAUAAAAAUUCAUGCAUGGAAUCCUACAUUAUUAUGCAUCAAAAUCUCCAGAAAUGUCUUAGGAUUUUUGCAGGGAGAAUAUUAAAUGCAUUGUUUUGCUUUGUUUUGAAGAGACUAGAUGUGCAGAGGAAGAGAGGUGGCAUGGUGGGAGGGUACAUUUGAGUUGUCAACAGUCUCUGCAGUGUCAGGUCAAUUACAUCAGCACUUGGACUGGACCAGGGAAAGGAAUGAUUCUGCUUCCUGGGAAUGUCAGAAGGACCUGAUGAUUAUAUUUGGCAAAGCCAGGAGGAGUGGCUUUGAAUGUCAUUGCUAAGAAUUACACUUUGAGUAGCAUUUCUGGAUGUCUGAGCUUUUCAAAUGAUACUUCUUUUCUGCUGUGGCUUUCCUUUCUGUUGGACUGGUUCCCAGAGGGUCCUCUUGUUUGUCCUUGCCCUCGCUUUUAUAUCAGUUCAUGUUUUCUCUUCUGUCAUCUUCCUUCCCAGCGCUGUUUCUCCACCCCCUCCUGCUGCACUCACAACAGCUUCCCCUCUCCUGUUUAGAGGUGGAAGCAUGUAAGAAUGCGUUUGAGGGGGAUGCUUGCCAAAGGACAGCAUAUUCAACAUCUGGUAUCAACAAGGUAAUGUUUAACCUUAGACUAGCCAAACUAGUGAUGACCUGCUUCCAUGCUGCAUCUGCUGCUUUUUGUGUUGAUGGGACUCAGAAAUCAUGAGAAAGGUCUUCAGUGAUCCAUGACUGCAACAAAUUCUUUUCCUAAUUGUGCCGUAUAUUAUGCCCCUCAAUACAACUUACUAAUCUCUGCCUCAGUUUCUCCAUCUGUGAAAGUGGUGUAAUACUUAUCUACCUCCCUUGAAUGUUGUGAAGAUUAGUAUAUGUUGGUAAAGC
rnacentral:lncRNA from 1 species